rnacentral:rRNA from 1 species
CCUACGGGAGGCAGCAGUGAGGAAUAUUGGUCAAUGGGCGGAAGCCUGAACCAGCCAAGUCGCGUGAGGGAAGACGGUCCUACGGAUUGUAAACUUCUUUUGUCGGGGAGCAAAAUCAGGCUCGUGUGCCUGACCGCGGGUACUCGAAGAAAAAGCAUCGGCUAACUCCGUGCCAGCAGCCGCGGUAAUACGGAGGAUGCGAGCGUUAUCCGGAUUUAUUGGGUUUAAAGGGUGCGUAGGCGGGCGGUUAAGUCAGCGGUAAAAGCGCGGGGCUCAACCCCGUCGAGCCGGUGAAACUGGAUGGCUUGAGAGGGCGAGAGGAAGGCGGAAUGCGUGGUGUAGCGGUGAAAUGCAUAGAUAUCGCGCAGAACUCCGAUUGCGAAGGCAGCAUACCGGCGGCGAACUGACGCUGAGGCACGAAAGUGUGGGUAUCGAACAGGAUUAGAUACCCUAGUAGUC